UCGCUACUUGCGUAGGCAGUCCACUUAGAGUGCCCAGCUUGACCUGAUGGCAACUAAGUGCAGGGGUUGCGCUCGUUGCAGGACUUAACCUAACACCUCACGGCACGAGCUGACGACAGCCAUGCAGCACCUGUACAAGUGCCCCUUGCGGAGAGACCGACUUUCAUCGGUUGUCACUUGCCUUUCAAACCCAGGUAAGGUUCUUCGCGUUGCAUCGAAUUAAACCACAUGCUCCACUGCUUGUGCGGGCCCCCGUCAAUUCCUUUGAGUUUCAACCUUGCGAUCGUACUUCCCAGGUGGGAUGCUUAAUGCGUUAGCUUAGACACCGACCCUUGCGGGCCGACAUCGAGCAUCCAUCGUUUAAGGCGUGGACUAC
rnacentral:misc_RNA from 1 species